UGCGGAUGCAUUGUGACCAGCGAUGUGUAACUACAUCUGAUGGACUGGUCGGAUUUUUAAACGGCGGUGCAUCAGCAUGGCUGCAGCUUUGAGCUGAAACUAGGAAAAAAAAAUGAAAUGAUGCUUUCAAUUGCAUAUUCAAUACAGUUGUAGAAAUUAAAAAGUAAUAAGCAGAAUUGGUGAUAAAUGACCGCUCGGUACUUCUGGUGUUCACUAAAUGUGUAUCUAUUCAUAUAGAUGUGUGACUAUCAAUGUGACAAUUCAUAAGAACAAUAAGCAUUUUGAGAUCCUCCUAAAUUGGUGAUAGUGUUCUGGGCUUUCUCCAUGGCAUUAACUAAGCUACUCAUCAGGGAAUUGCUGUAAUUGUCAAAGCUCCUUCUAUGACAAAACAGAAUGGAGAAAGAACUGUGUGUGGUAACAACUUCCCACCUCUAUAGUUUGUAAGAUAACUUACCUGUGGGAUAUGCUUUUUAAAAACAUGAGCUCCUCCUAAAAUGGUAGUGUUGUGGGCUUUCUCCAUAAAAAUAUAUAUCUAUGCACAUAUACUUGAUAUGAUGUUCAUGAUAGCACAUUUAAAACAGUUGUAGAAAUUAAAAUGUAAUAAGCAGAAUUGGUGAUAAAUGACCGCUUGGUACUUCUGGUGUUAACUAAAUGUGUAUCUAUUCAUAUAGAUGUGUGACUAUCAAUGUGACAAUUCAUAAGAACAAUAAGCAUUUUGAGCUCCUCCUAAAUUGGUGAUAGUGUUCUGGGUUUUCUCCAUUACAUUAACCAAGCUACUCAUCAGGGAAUUGCUGUAAUUGUCAAAGCUCCUUCAAGGCCAAAGAAAGAAAAAGGGACACUCUGUAACUAAAUGUAUUCACACAGGAGAGGAGGUAGAGCAGUGUGUGAUAACAGCCUCCCAACUCUAACCUGUUGGGUAGUUUUCCUUUAUAAAAGCACUUUCUUCCGGAUUAUUAAUCCCUUUUGCUUGAAUCUUGUUAUGAAACUGUUAAACCCAAUAGGUGUGGCUGUGUGAUGAGAAGCUUGUAAGUGGAUUUUGAAGAUGGAAACUAAAAGAAGCCCAUCAUUUAUAUAUAUAUAUAUGUGUAGGAAGCCUAUUGUCUACCUUGCUAUUCAGCUCUAAAUUUUUAGUGUUCAGAUUAAUUUGUCAAAUGUAAUGCUUAUUUGUUCAUGUUAUUUUCAACUAUUCAGGUGUCACAGGUGUCUCCGAAAUAUUUACCUGUAAUUUUGUUAAUUUUUUUUUUUUUACAAACAGAUUUAAAAUUUUGUUUGUGGGUGCUAAUAUAACAGUGGAUUAUAGUUAUGAAACUUCAGCUGAUCUUGCUGCUUAAAAUUUGACUUUAAUGGGCAGGUUAAUUUAAUUAACAGGUGUGAAAGCAAUAACAUGGUUAAACACUAAAAUUGAAAUUCUUAAUACAUCUCAACCAUUUGAUUUGUUACUAGAAUUAUCCCAGGUGUCAACUGCCAAAAAUUUUGCCACUUUUCAAGAUGAGGUACAUUAAUUUGAAUUAAUAAAAAUACAGGUGUAAUCGGUA